rnacentral:lncRNA from 10 species
GUUGAAGCCAUGCACACUCCCACCCACACAGGGGCAGGAUUUGCACAGCCAGACCAAAUGCCCACACUCUCCCCAUCACAGUCAGGAACUGGGCCAAAGGCCCCCGUGAGACCAGGGGAAUGCGGAUGUGGUGGACAAGGGGCUUAACAAAGGAAGGGUGAGGUCGUCCUCCGAAGGGCGGAGGGUACGGGCUGAACAGCUGGGCACCGAGGCUGCACCUGGCCAGUCCAAGCCAGAGGAAGGUGGAGGCCCCAGCUGGGCGCAGCAGGCAGGCGCGAGGCAGGUAGUGGGUGCUGUCUUAUAGAGAAGGCAUUCGAAGCCCAGAGAGGUGAAGCAGUUCCCUCAAGGACACACAGCAAGGAAGCGGUUGCCCCAGGACUCAGCUCAGGUUUGUGUAACCCCAGGACCGUGUUCCUUGUCGUGGGCAGCGAGAGGCCCCAGGCAACAUAGCGACUCCAGAGCAGCAGCACCAGCACCUGACGGACAGUAAGCAAGCCUGGAUCUGAGAGAGAUAUCAUCUUGCAAGGAUGCCUGCUUUACAAACAUCCUUGAAACAACAAUCCAGAAAAAAAAAGGUGUUGCUGUCUUUGCUCAGAAGACACACAGAUACGUGACAGAACCAUGGAGAAUUGCCUCCCAACACUGUUCAGCCAGAGCCUUCCACCCUUGUCUGCAGGACAGUCUCAACGUUCCACCAUUAAAUACUUCUUCUGUCACAUCCUGCUUAUUUAUGCCUAACCAAGGUUCUAGGUCCCGAUCGACUGUGUCUGGCAGCACUCCACUGCCAAACCCAGAAUAAGGCAGCGCUCAGGAUCCCGAAGGGGCAUGGCUGGGGAUCAGAACUUCUGGGUUUGAGUGAGGAGUGGGUCCACCCUCUUGAAUUUCAAAGGAGGAAGAGGCUGGAUGUGAAGGAACUGGGGGAGGGAAAGUGUCAGUUCCGAACUCUUAGGUCAAUGAGGGAGGAGACUGGUAAGGUCCCAGCUCCCGAGGUACUGAUGUGGGAAUGGCCUAAGAAUCUCAUAUCCUCAGGAAGAAGGUGCUGGAAUCCUGAGGGGUAGAGUUCUGGGUAUAUUUGUGGCUUAAGGCUCUUUGGCCCCUGAAGGGCAGAGGCUGGAACCAUUAGGUCCAGGGUUUGGGGUGAUAGUAAUGGGAUCUCUUGAUUCCUCAAGAGUCUGAGGAUCGAGGGUUGCCCAUUCUUCCAUCUUGCCACCUAAUCCUUACUCCACUUGAGGGUAUCACCAGCCCUUCUAGCUCCAUGAAGGUGCCCCUGGGCAAGCACAAUCUGAGCAUGAAAGAUGCCCCAGAGGCCUUGGGUGUCAUCCACUCAUCAUCCAGCAUCCACACUCUGAGGGUGUGGCCAGCACCAUGACGUCAUGUUGCUGUGACUAUCCCUGCAGCGUGCCUCUCCAGCCACCUGCCAACCGUAGAGCUGCCGACAUCCUCCUCUGGUGGGAGUGGCCUGCAUGGUGCCAGGCUGAGGCCUAGUGUCAGACAGGGAGCCUGGAAUCAUAGGGAUCCAGGACUCAAAAGUGCUAGAGAAUGGCCAUAUGUCACCAUCCAUGAAAUCUCAAGGGCUUCUGGGUGGAGGGCACAGGGACCUGAACUUAUGGGUUUUCCCCAAGUCUAUUGCUCUCCCAAGUGAGUCUCCCAGAUACGAGGCACUGUGCCAGCAUCAGCCUUAUCUCCACCACAUCUUGUAAAAGGGACUACCCAGGGCCCUGAUGAACACCAUGGUGUGUACAGGAGUAGGGGGUGGAGGCACGGACUCCUGUGAGGUCACAGCCAAGGGAGCAUCAUCAUGGGUGGGGAGGAGGCAAUGGACAGGCUUGAGAACGGGGAUGUGGUUGUAUUUGGUUUUCUUUGGUUAGAUAAAGUGCUGGGUAUAGGAUUGAGAGUGGAGUAUGAAGACCAGUUAGGAUGGAGGAUCAGAUUGGAGUUGGGUUAGAGAUGGGGUAAAAUUGUGCUUCGGAUGAGUUUGGGAUUGACACUGUGGAGGUGGUUUGGGAUGGCAUGGCUUUGGGAUGGAAAUAGAUUUGUUUUGAUGUUGGCUCAGACAUCCUUGGGGAUUGAACUGGGGAUGAAGCUGGGUUUGAUUUUGGAGGUAGAAGACGUGGAAGUAGCUGUCAGAUUUGACAGUGGCCAUGAGUUUUGUUUGAUGGGGAAUCAAACAAUGGGGGAAGACAUAAGGGUUGGCUUGUUAGGUUAAGUUGCGUUGGGUUGAUGGGGUCGGGGCUGUGUAUAAUGCAGUUGGAUUGGUUUGUAUUAAAUUGGGUUGGGUCAGGUUUUGGUUGAGGAUGAGUUGAGGAUAUGCUUGGGGACACCGGAUCCAUGAGGUUCUCACUGGAGUGGAGACAAACUUCCUUUCCAGGAUGAAUCCGGGGAAGCCUUAAUUCACGUGUAGGGGAGGUCAGGCCACUGGCUAAGUAUAUCCUUCCACUCCAGCUCUAAGAUGGUCUUAAAUUGUGAUUAUCUAUAUCCACCUCUGUCUCCCUCACUGUGCUUGGAGUUUACCUGAUCACUCAACUAGAAACAGGGG